UACGUAGGGUGCGAGCGUUAAUCGGAAUUACUGGGCGUAAAGCGUGCGCAGGCGGUUCUGCAAGUCAGAUGUGAAAUCCCCGGGCUUAACCUGGGAACUGCGUUUGAAACUACGGAGCUAGAGUGCGGCAGAGGGGGGUGGAAUUCCACGUGUAGCAGUGAAAUGCGUAGAGAUGUGGCGGAACACCGAUGGCGAAGGCAGCCCCCUGGGCUGAGAUUGACGCUCAGGCACGAAAGCGUGGGGAGCAAACAGG
rnacentral:rRNA from 1 species